rnacentral:rRNA from 1 species
GUCUACAGCCAUACCAUCCUGAAUACGCUAUCUCAUUUGAUGUUGGAAGCUAAGCAAUGUUGGCCCUGGCUAGUACUUGGACUGGAGAACACCUGAGAAUACCGAGUACUCUACACU